rnacentral:rRNA from 1 species
GGAUGAGUGGCGAACGGGUGAGUAAUACGUGAGUAACCUGCCCUUGACUCUGGGAUAAGCCUGGGAAACUGGGUCUAAUACUGGAUACGACAUGUCACCGCAUGGUGGUGUGUGGAAAGGGUUUUACUGGUUUUGGAUGGGCUCACGGCCUAUCAGCUUGUUGGUGGGGUAAUGGCUCACCAAGGCGACGACGGGUAGCCGGCCUGAGAGGGUGACCGGCCACACUGGGACUGAGACACGGCCCAGACUCCUACGGGAGGCAGCAGUGGGGAAUAUUGCACAAUGGGCGAAAGCCUGAUGCAGCGACGCCGCGUGAGGGAUGACGGCCUUCGGGUUGUAAACCUCUUUCAGCACGGAAGAAGCGAAAGUGACGGUACGUGCAGAAGAAGCGCCGGCUAACUACGUGCCAGCAGCCGCGGUAAUACGUAGGGCGCAAGCGUUGUCCGGAAUUAUUGGGCGUAAAGAGCUCGUAGGCGGUUUGUCGCGUCUGCUGUGAAAGCCCGGGGCUUAACCCCGGGUGUGCAGUGGGUACGGGCAGACUUGAGUGCAGUAGGGGAGACUGGAAUUCCUGGUGUAGCGGUGAAAUGCGCAGAUAUCAGGAGGAACACCGAUGGCGAAGGCAGGUCUCUGGGCUGUUACUGACGCUGAGGAGCGAAAGCAUGGGGAGCGAACAGGAUUAGAUACCCUGGUAGUCCAUGCCGUAAACGUUGGGCACUAGGUGUGGGGAACAUUCCACGUUUUCCGCGCCGUAGCUAACGCAUUAAGUGCCCCGCCUGGGGAGUACGGCCGCAAGGCUAAAACUCAAAGGAAUUGACGGGGGCCCG